rnacentral:lncRNA from 1 species
GAAGAGGUGUACUCACUUCUGUGAGAUACUGUAUAUGACAAAAAAAGAUAUGCAGAUCUUUACAAUACAGUGUACUUUUUAAUGCAGUAGGCCUAUAUAUAAUGCAUCCUUGAAAGUCUCCAUACAGGAUCAAUAUCAAAUUAUAAGUCAAUGGGAGCAGUGCACGUUGUUCUGUUAAGUCACACAACUUGUCGAGAAAAGAUUUUACUUUCAAUAUGCACUUUCACUCAUUUUAAUUAAAGUUGCUCUGGCUAACAUUUGAUAGUGAUAAAUGUAGCGCACCCCACAAGGAUUAGACGUCAAGAGUCAUUUGUAAGAAAGCAAGUCUUCAUUAGAAUCUGCCGAUGUUCUCGAAGUCACGUCAUAUAGUACUGCGGGUGAUAUUAGCUUGCAGAUGUUUGUCAUCUGUAGACCGCAAUUGUUCAUGUGAAAGACUCUCAGUGGUACCUGCCUUACCGCUUUUUCCUAUAUGUAGCCUACCUCCCCUGAUUGCAAGCAAAUGCGCAAGACAAACCCUAAGCCCCGCAGCUUUCACUGAUGACUCCUUCGCCAACCCAUUAGUUCUCUUAAAGUCACUUUUCCAUGUCCUCAGUUCUCACAGUGGGACACUUUGCAUGCACUCAGGGGCUGCAUCAUAGUCUGGCCGUGAGCUUUUAGACUUGCUUACGCACACAGAGCAUGAGUAAUAUCGUUUCCCCGCGAGUGCACCACCACAUCACUGCAACGGAAUUUCCCCAUCUCAUUUCAUAUGAAAAAGAGGCAGAGCGAAAAAAGCUCUUGGAUCUUCUUAUUCAGUCGUAAAACAUCAAAUUUUACCCAUGCGCAAAACCUCGAACCCACUCCGAGUUAUCAGGAAACGUGUGCGGAGAAGUUGUUUUUGUCAGUUUCGCUGUAAUCUGCUACCGCUAUUUGACACCUUUGUAUGUGUGCUUCUUUGUUCGAUUUUGUCAGGUUCAGCCCUUUGUUUGAAAUCCGAAUUCUGGAACAGAGAUGUCGCACAAUGUGUACCUUGUCAAAUAUGCAAACAGUAUCCGAAAACUCCAUCAUGUGACACAUGCCCACCCAUAGAGCCUUCAGAUUCCUGGAGGGUGGCAGCAAUUACCAGUUUAUCUGUCCUGGCAGCUGUAAUUGUUUGCGGAGCCUUGCUCAUAGGCAUUCUAGUGCAUCAAUUCAGGUCCAAGAGGACUUUACGUGGUGAGAUAUUAACAUUACAGCACAUGUUUAACAACAAACAUUCUCCUUCAGGGCAGAACUAACUCAACUUUUUCUGUCCACAAUUCAGAACCGAUUGAAGAGACAACAGGACCCCUUUAUCAAGUAUAGGAUCUUCAUAAGGUAAGGGUUGAAAACUGCAACUCUUCUUAAGAUGCUUCGAAAUGCAUUAAGGAAAUUAGUUUUGUUCACAUGCAAUCUUUUAAAUGUUUGCAGCUCAUGGAUCUCAAGCUGACGAAAAUGAAAAUGGACUUGUUACUCCAGUGAAUUAAUGCUCCAGUUGGUAAACGCUGGCUGGUACCUCAACCACAGAGUGUUCUACGAGUAGCAUCUGAUUUGUCUAACUUAUUACAUUAGUAGGCUAUGUCAUGCAUAGCAAAUGGUUAUGCACAAAAGCUGCACUGAGACCUUCCUUGUCACUCACUGUGCAGAAUAGGUUUGCAAGCCUUGGUGCUAAGUGACAUCCUAUGGACAGCAUGAUAGCACUGUUUUUGCAGAAAUUUGAGGCCAUUCAUGUUGCACUUAGUGCACUGUAGAUGCAUUCCCACUUGGAAUAUUCCUUGUUAGAUUUGUGAACACGAUAAACAAAUAACCACAAACCGUUUAAUAUAGUAGACUUAGAGAUCAACUUUUUUUACACAAAUAUGCCUCCCUAAACAGAUUUAGUAUGGCACAGCCAUUUGAAUGUAUUUGUAAUCAUUGUUUGUACAGUUUAAUUAUCUAUUUUUAUAGUGUUGGAAUACUACGCACUGUAUAGAUGUAGCCCUUUGUACAACAAUGUUCGGACACCGACUGGCUCAGCAGCCUGUCUAUGGCAUUGAUGAACGUUCUGGAGACACUGAAGACCAGCGAAGCAACAGAAGGCGAUAUCCUGAAAGACAAGAGUCGCCAGCUGACAUUAACAAACUCUUUGAGAAAGAGUCGCGGGUGUCAGAUUCCAUCUGAUUUUUGCUGCCUGUAUACGCAAAAGAGAUUAGAUAGUUUAGAGUGAUAUUUACAUGUAAGUAGUGAUAUUUACAUACAUGCAAUACAUUUAAUCUCCCGUGUUUUAUCAUUUCAGCUUACUAAAAUGUUUUGAAAGGAUAAAAUCACCAGUUUUAGAUGUGUGUAGCCAGCUGUGGGCAUUAGGGAAUGUAUAUAUUUAUAUACAGCAGAUGUGAAGGAGUAAUCAACUUGUUUGAAUGACUUAAAGCAUGUUUAACAAGAGGUUAAUAUCAUGAAACCUGUGAAGAACAUGUUUGAGUAACAUUUCAACCCAGAAUCAAAAGUGCUUAAAGAAUUUGUUGCAUUGUUUUCAAGAAAACUAAGCACACUUUAUACCCCAGUUCCCAAGAAUACUUUAUGUACCUCAUUGUGAAUCACUGCCAUGUUUGUCAGAAAUCUAGGAACAUCAAGAAGCUAGUCCAGAAUCUUUAUCGAUAAACAUAAACCUGUGAAGCAUGCACGGCGCUGUCAGUCUUAAAAAAAGUUGGUUGUGUAUUUGUGCCUUUACUCAUUCACAAUUACUCCACAGAAUGCAGAGGAAACUAUGCAUUUGAAUACAAUAAAGAGACAACUAAUGUACUGUAUUUGUCUGUUCAUGUUUUUUUGUUUCCUUAAUGUGUUUUUUGA